rnacentral:rRNA from 1 species
AAUAGAUACCCGGUAGUCCACGCCGUAAACGAUGUCGACUUGGAGGUUGUUCCCUUGAGGAGUGGCUUCCGGAGCUAACGCGUUAAGUCGACCGCCUGGGGAGUACGGCCGCAAGGUUAAAACUCAAAUGAAUUGACGGGGGCCCGCACAAGCGGUGGAGCAUGUGGUUUAAUUCGAUGCAACGCGAAGAACCUUACCUACUCUUGACAUCCACGGAACUUAGCAGAGAUGCUUUGGUGCCUUCGGGAACCGUGAGACAGGUGCUGCAUGGCUGUCGUCAGCUCGUGUUGUGAAAUGUUGGGUUAAGUCCCGCAACGAGCGCAACCCUUAUCCUUUGUUGCCAGCGGUCCGGCCGGGAACUCAAAGGAGACUGCCAGUGAUAAACUGGAGGAAGGUGGGGAUGACGUCAAGUCAUCAUGGCCCUUACGAGUAGGGCUACACACGUGCUACAAUGGCGCAUACAAAGAGAAGCGACCUCGCGAGAGCAAGCGGACCUCAUAAAGUGCGUCGUAGUCCGGAUUGGAGU